UCAGCCAUGUGCAUUUAAUUGGAAGUUCACUUUGUAGGGCAGCUUCACCCCCUUAUAAGGUGGCAAGGUAGUUAUGUUUUGAUGACCGAAGCCUUGAUUUUGUGUGCUACUGCAAAAAUAUGUUCCGGAUAUUGAUUAUGUAAAACCCACUCUCUGAACGUAAAACCAAGAUAUCGAAGCUACCGAGAGCUUGAGGAUCAUCGAGGAUCAUCACCACACUAUCGAACUAUAUUUUGGUACCUUCUGAAAAUGUGAAUAUUGAAGUACGACAUGUAUAGGCUAGAAGUAUUUGAAUAUGAUUUUUGAAGUGUAUAUCAUGCCAUGUGAUAUCACUAGAUUAAAGUUGCUAUUUGGUGUGGUUUUUGGUAUAUAAGUUGUGAUAAAAAAUGGUAUUUGUUGAUGUGCAUAAAUGGCCUAUUGAGAAACAGUCAAUUUGGUAAGCUAGUUAUGUGAAUUAGUUAUGGAAAUGGUAUGAUUUUGAUAUGAGAAUAAAUGUGAAAAAUUGGGAUAA